rnacentral:rRNA from 1 species
GACGAACGCUGGCGGCAUGCUUAACACAUGCGAGUCGAACGGGAAGGCCCUUCUUUUGUGGCGUGCUCGAGUGGCGAACGGGUGAAUAACCCGUGGGUAACCUGACCUCGACUGUAGACUAACGUCAGUAACCCGUGGCUAAUGCCGGAUAGGGGCUCCUGCUGCCGGGGGGGGGCUGGCAAGUUUCGGCCGAUGGGGAUGGACACGCGGCUUAUCAGCUGGUUGGUGGGGUAGUGGCUUACCAAGGCUUUGACGAGUAGCCGGCCGGAAAGGGUGACCGGCCACAUUGGGACUGAGAUGCGGCGCAGACUCCUACGGGAGGCAGCAGUGGGGAAUAAUGCACAAUGGGCGGAAGCCGGAUGCAGCAACGCCGCGGGCGGGAUGACGGACGUCGGGUGGUAGUCCGCUUUCGCCUGUGACGAAGCGGGAGUGACGGUAAUGGGUAAAGAAGCGCCGGCUAACUACGUG